ACACUCCAUCGUCGUCCGAUCUCGCCCGCUCGCAUCCUGUUCCGCUCUCCGCCGUGGUCCAUCGCCCCCUGCACCAUUCCGUUGCCCCGCACCCAAGAGAUCGAUCCUAAUCCCUCUCCUACGCCGCCGCAGUCGCCUCUCUUCCACGCCGCCACCAUGGAGACGCUGGCCAGCGCCAUGCGUCGCGAGAACCGCCGCGUCAAGCCUCCGUCCUCCACCUCCUCCACCGCUGCAGGCAGGGCCCCGCUCAUCAUGGCCUUCCUCUCCUCCCUCGCCUGGCUCUACGACGCCGGCCGAUACGCCCCCCCCCCCCCCCGCACAGAUCCCAAUCCCGGACGCCCCAGGAUUCCUGAUCCCUCUCUUGGUUCCAUCACAGGUUGUGGCAGGACGUGCAGACUCGGGCUAUCCUGUCCGGCCUCCUUGAGAGGAACUCCGGCAACCUCCCGAAGGUGCUCUCGGUGGAGGACAAGCUGCGGAAUCUCAGAUGCAAUUGAUGCGAUCUGGUUCUCUUCCUCUGAUCGUCGGGUCGCCUCAGAGCAGCGAGCAGCAUGCGAUGGUCGGUGGCGGUGACCUCCAGAACCCGAGGAAGCGCAAGCGCGAGCACGCGGAGGGAAUCGCAAGCCACCUCCGUCGCAUGGUAAGGCAGGAGGGGCCAGUGCAAAGCGGAAGAAGCACCCUGCCGGCCACGUGGUCCAUGGCGGCACCGGUGAGGCUAUGGCACUAAAGAAGCGGCCGGUUACCGCCAAGAAGAAGCGCUUGGUGGCCAAGGACAUGUCGGAGUCGAGGAAGAUGAAAAGGAAGCCGAAUUACAGCCUUGAGAAGGAACUAACGAAACUGUGGGAGAAGAUGAGAUGUCAUGAUGUGAGCAAAGAGGAGAGAUCCAAGUAAGCAUUAGUAUGAAAGUCUUGUAUCUUAUGUUUGUGUUCGUACAUUGAUAAAAACGUAUAAGUGAUUUUAUAAUGGAAGCAUCACAUUGUUUGCAUUGAGGACCUAGAUCAGUUUGGUGGUAAGUGGUGUUUCUAGCAAUUCCAAUUUCUCUUGUUAAGUACAUGAUAAUUUGCAACAUUACCAUUUUCAUAGACCUUUUUUAGCUCUUUCAUAAAAAAUCAUUGUGUAGAGAUUGUUGGGAGGUUUUCCUGGCUUGAUCUUAAUUAACAAGUAAUGCCUGGUGAUUGUAUAACCUAUGGUAUGCUUUGAUUUAAGCUAAGUAUGAUGCCCUUAAAGUUUUGUGAUGUGUUGCACCGUCGAUUGUGUGGUCCAAUUGCCUCAACGCAAGUAUUGUGUGGAAGUUGAAUUAGAUGUACUACAUUUGAUACUGAAAUGGGAAAUUAUUGGGUAAACAUGCUGCUACUUACAUAGAAAUGUUUCUUUUGGUGAAAUUUGUGCUUGUGCCUUGUUCAUACUUUGAUGAUACUUUUUUUUUGGUUGCAUGGCAUUGACUAUUAAUC